rnacentral:rRNA from 1 species
UGUUUCAUUCAAAUUUCUGGCCCUAUCUAACUUCUCUGAUGGUAGGAUAGAGGCUACCAUGGUUUUCAACUGGGUAACGGGGAAUUAGGGUUCGAUUCCUGGAGUAGGGAGCCUGAGAAACUGGCUACUAUAUCCUAAGGAAGGCAGCAGGUGCGGCCAAAUUACCCUAAUCCCUGAUACGGGCAGGUCAGUGACAAUAAAUAACAAUACAGGGCUUUCUAGUCUUGUAAAUUUGGCAAUGAGUACAAUUUAAAUCCCUUAACGAGGAACAAUUGGCAGGGCAAGUCUGGUUGCCAGCAGCCGCGGGUAAAUUCCAGCUCCAAAUAGCCGUAUCAUCUAA